rnacentral:rRNA from 1 species
UACGAAGGGUGCAAGCGUUAAUCGGAAUUACUGGGCGUAAAGUGUGCGCAGGCGGCCGAGCAAGUCGAGUGUGAAAGCCCCGAGCUUAACUUGGGAACUGCGCUCGAAACUACUUGGCUAGAGUGUGGCAGAGGGAGGUGGAAUUCCACGUGUAGCGGUGAAAUGCGUAGAGAUGUGGAGGAACACCGACGGCGAAGGCAGCCUCCUGGGCCAACACUGACGCUCAUGCACGAAAGCGUGGGGAGCAAACAGG